UUAAAUUUAAAAAAAAAAAAAGCAGGUUGGGUUAUGAGAAGUAAAUGAAAGUAGAUUUAUGUAUAAGUUCUAGCUCAUAGGGCUAGUAUGAUGAUAUACGCGUCUGAUCAAUAUCGGGCUCAAUUAAAACAGUAUACCAUACAAUAAGAUACGAUAAGCAGAGCAACGAUGAGAGCGCAUAAUGACAAUAUGCAU
rnacentral:ribozyme from 1 species